GCACAAGCGGUGGAGCAUGUGGUUUAAUUCGAAGCAACGCGAAGAACCUUACCUGGAUUUGACAUCCUCGGACCGACGUAGAGAUACGUUUUUCGUAGCAAUACGACCGGGAGACAGGUGCUGCAUGGCUGUCGUCAGCUCGUGUGGUGACAUGUUGGGUUAAGUCCCGCAACGAGCGCAACCCUUGUCCUUAGUUGCCAGCAUUCAGUUGGGCUCUCUAAGGAGACUGCCGUGGUGAACACGGAGGAAGGUGGGGAUGACGUCAAGUCCUCAUGGCCUUUAUAUCCAGGGCGACACACGUGAUACAAUGGACGGUACAGAGGGAAGCGAAAGCGCGAGCUGGAGCCAAUCUCAAAAAGCCGUUCUCAGUUCGGAUUGGAGUCUGCAACUCGACUCCAUGAAGUUGGAAUCGCUAGUAAUCGCGGAUCAGCACGCCGCGGUGAAUACGUUCCCGGGC
rnacentral:rRNA from 1 species